rnacentral:lncRNA from 1 species
CCUUCAUGGUUCGCUGAAAAUAAUUACAAGCUGAUCUUGCUUCGCUAAGAAAAGGCUGAUUCUUCUGAAAGUCUGCUCCAUAAAUGUACGGAAGUCUGCUCCUCAUUUACACGUACAUGUCUUCUCACGUUGCUCUGCUUUUUGGAUCGUCACCUUGGGCCCAAACCCUUCAGCAUUUCAUGUUACCAUUGCAGUGUUAAGCAUCCUUCUUUCAUUCUAACUUGGGGGGGG